UUACGGCCAUAUCAUAUCGAAACACCGGUUCCCGUAUGAUCACUAAAGUUAAGCAAAGUCGUGUCUGAUCAGUACCUAGAUGGGUGACCGCUGGGUAAUACCAGGUGCUGUAA